UACGGAGGGGGCUAGCGUUGUUCGGAAUUACUGGGCGUAAAGCGCACGUAGGCGGAUCAGUUAGUCGGGGGUGAAAUCCCGGGGCUCAACCCCGGAACUGCCUUCGAUACUGCUGGUCUGGAGGUCGAGAGAGGUGAGUGGAAUUCCGAGUGUAGAGGUGAAAUUCGUAGAUAUUCGGAGGAACACCAGUGGCGAAGGCGGCUCACUGGCUCGAUACUGACGCUGAGGUGCGAAAGCGUGGGGAGCAAACAGG
rnacentral:rRNA from 1 species